rnacentral:rRNA from 1 species
AAUAGAUACCCAGGUAGUCCACGCCGUAAACGAUGGAUACUAGCUGUUGGAGGUAUCGACCCCUUCAGUAGCGAAGCUAACGCGUUAAGUAUCCCGCCUGUGGAGUACGGUCGCAAGACUAAAACAUAAAGGAAUUGACGGGGACCCGCACAAGCGGUGGAUCGUGUUCUUUAAUUCGAUGAUAAACGAAGAACCUUACCAGGGCUUGACAUCCCAAGAAGGCUUCCGAAAGGAAACUGUGCCGUAAGGAACUUGGUGACAGAUGAUGCAUGGCCGUCGUCAGCUCGUGUCGUGAGAUGUUUGGUUAAGUCCAUUAACGAGCGCAACCCUUGUGAAUAGUUGUAUUUUUCUAUUCAGACUGCCCCGGUAACGGGGAGGAAGGAGGGGAUGAGGUCAGGUCUGUAUUUCUCUUACGUCCUGGGCUAGAAACACGAUACAAUGGCUAGUACAAUGCGCAGCGAAGCCGCGAGGUGGAGCAAAUCGCAUCAAAGCUAGUCCCAGUUCGGAUAAGAGGCUGAAACUCGCCUCUUGAAGUCGGAAUCG